GCCCCAGUAGCUCAGCGGUAGAGCAAAUUGCCAUUCAUGGGAAAGGCCCAAAGCUCGCAAUGGAUCACAGUUGCCGAUGGUUCAAGUCCAUCCUGGGGCAUCA
rnacentral:tRNA from 1 species